rnacentral:rRNA from 1 species
GACGAACGCUGGCGGCGUGCCUAAUACAUGCAAGUAGAACGCUGAAGGAGGAGCUUGCUUCUCUGGAUGAGUUGCGAACGGGUGAGUAACGCGUAGGUAACUUGCCUGGUAGCGGGGGAUAACUAUUGGAAACGAUAGCUAAUACCGCAUAAGAGUAGAUGUUGCAUGACAUUUGCUUAAAAGGUGCAAUUGCAUCACUACCAGAUGGACCUGCGUUGUAUUAGCUAGUUGGUGGGGUAACGGCUUACCAAGGCGACGAUACAUAGCCGACCUGAGAGGGUGAUCGGCCACACUGGGACUGAGACACGGCCCAGACUCCUACGGGAGGCAGCAGUAGGGAAUCUUCGGCAAUGGACGGAAGUCUGACCGAGCAACGCCGCGUGAGUGAAGAAGGUUUUCGGAUCGUAAAGCUCUGUUGUAAGAGAAGAACGAGUGUGAGAGUGGAAAGUUCACACUGUGACGGUAUCUUACCAGAAAGGGACGGCUAACUACGUG